GCUGUAGCUCAGUGGUAGAGUAUCUGCUUUGCGUACAGAUGGUCCCUGGCUCAAUCCCCAGCAUCUCCA